rnacentral:lncRNA from 1 species
UAUCUCACUUGUUUUGGAAACUCUAUUAGGAUUGCUGUAAGUCGGAUGCAGGUUAAAAACAUGUAACAUAAAAAAUAUACCUGCAAAUAAGCCCACUGUAUGGAGUCAGCCUUCCUAGUUACCGAGCAUAAAAUGACUUUGUGUAUCUGACAAGAGCAUACACACGUUUAAGUAGGUGUCCUUCCCCUUGAUUAUGUCUGACCUUUAAUUAUUUGAAACAAUCUAAAUAUUUUAAACGUCGAGCAAUAUAUGAGACACAGCAAGUACUUCGGCACCUGCCGCAAAAUAAUAUAAAACUACAUAUAAUCCCGUCCCCCCAAUGAAAUAAUAAGACCGAGUUGCCACCAGUUCCUCCCCGGUGACAAAAAGAUGGUGGGACUUGGUCAAACGAAGAGUCAGAGGAAACGCGGAUAGGGCAAGAGAGACGUCCAUCCAGCUCUCCACCAAUAGAAAAAUGUAGACCCGGGCGAGAAGGCGGGAACCCGGAAGAGAAAUUGCAGGCCGCUCUGAGCCUCACUUCCGCUCCUUGGAAAGCGAAGGGAGAGGCGGCGGCGGCGGUAGCGGGUGGUCGCAAUGUUUCGCUUUUUGGUUGGCUUUGUACUUGGUAAUGUAUUUGGGGUGUAUCUGGCUCAGAACUAUGAUGUUCCAAACAUUGCAAGAAAGUUUGAAGAAAUCAAGAAAGAUGUGGAAGCUAGGAAGAAGCCCCCAAAUGACAAAUGAUGUUGAUGAAGCCAUCUGUGUAAUAGGUGUAGAUGAUGUAGCUUUGCUUUUGGGACACAGGUACCAACCUGUAACAUCGUUUUUCUGGAUUCCCUCCAAGGCUAAUUGUGGAAGACCUUGACUGGAAGCAUCACCUCAUCCUUAGGACCUUCCAGUGCUUUCCGAAUAUUUGACCUUUGUUUUAACCUUACAUAAUAAGAAAACAGAUCCAGAGAGAGGAAUUGGACUUUUGUUCUCAGUGUAUUUACACAGUACUUACUUUAUAUUCAGUAUUAAUGUGUCAUGGGUGUAGAAUAAUGAAAUUCAUUUUGUUAUUCAAACCCAACAAACUAAUAGCCUGGCUGUAACAGCGGUUCAUGGAAGAAAUCAGAAGGGAACCGCAAACUAGUACCCAAAGAUUCUCCCCCUUCCCAAAUGUAUUUGGGAGCACAACUAUACAACCCUUUUGUACAACCUCUUUAUAAUGUACUAAAUUACUGAUUAAAACCAAUGAAUACCCUGCCCCCUGAAGUGAAUGCUUUCUGAUUUCAAACUUUGUGGGAUCUCACGCUGUGCAUAGUAAGUUGUCCUGUCCCAUGCAAAACAAAUGUGAAAUAUUGAGUCUAUCAGAGAAAGAGUUGUGAAAUACGGUCCACUCCAUAAGGUGGUAGCAUCAUCAUCUUAGAACUGCAGAGCUAGAAGGGACCUGUCCAGCCCCUCUCAAGGAGGCACAGUAGGAAAUUGAACUCCCAACCUUUGGCUCUGCAGCCAGAUAGCUAAAUCACUGUGGUAUCCAGCAGUUCUGUAUAGGUGAUAUGAUGAUCUUGCUUCACUCAUUUCUCUGUUUCUCUGGCAUUCUAUUCUAUAAAUUGGCUGUGAAAAUUCCUUUGUUGGGUUUAUCAUCUGAUCUAACAUUAGCAGAAGCCUGCACUGCAGUGUGAUUGUCAAAGUCUGCAUUAGUCCGGAUAAAAUUCUUAUUACCUUUGUCCCGUGUCCUUCUGUGCCACUGCCACGCAUAGAAAGGUAAUGUGAUAAUGAUCUAUUCAGACAAUGGUUCCCAACCUUGCGUGACCCAGAUAUUCUUGGAUGGCAAUUCCCAGAAGCCUUCUUCACCAGCUGUGAUGAAAAACAUGUGAGUUGCC